UUACGGCCAUAUCAAAUUGGAAUACCGGUUCACGUCCGAUCACCGAAGUUAAUCAAGGCCAAACCUGAUCAGUAUCUAGAUGCGUGACCUCUUGGCAAGACGAGGUGCU